rnacentral:rRNA from 1 species
GAUGAACGCUGGCGGCGUGCCUAAUACAUGCAAGUAGAACGCUGAAGGAGGAGCUUGCUCUUCUGGAUGAGUUGCGAACGGGUGAGUAACGCGUAGGUAACCUGCCUGGUAGCGGGGGAUAACUAUUGGAAACGAUAGCUAAUACCGCAUGACAACAGUUAUUGCAUGAUAACUGUUUAAAAGGGGCAACUGCUCCACUACCAGAUGGACCUGCGUUGUAUUAGCUAGUUGGUGAGGUAACGGCUCACCAAGGCGACGAUACAUAGCCGACCUGAGAGUGUGAUCGGCCACACUGGGACUGAGACACGGCCCAGACUCCUACGGGAGGCAGCAGUAGGGAAUCUUCGGCAAUGGACGGAAGUCUGACCGAGCAACGCCGCGUGAGUGAAGAAGGUUUUCGGAUCGUAAAGCUCUGUUGUAAGAGAAGAACGAGUGUGAGAGUGGAAAGUUCACACUGUGACGGUAUCUUACCAGAAAGGGACGGCUAACUACGUG